AUUGAACGCUGGCGGCAGGCCUAACACAUGCAAGUCGAGCGAGCGGCGGACGGGAGUGAAAUGCCGGGGACUUGCCCAGUCGGGGGGGAUAACAGUUGGAAACGACUGCUAAUACCGCAUACUCAUGUGUUCCCGAGGUGGGUAUAGCGAGUUGGUGAGGUAACGGCUCACCAAGGCGACGAUCCCUAGCUGGUCUGAGAGGAUGAUCAGCCACACUGGAACUGAGACACGGUCCAGACUCCUACGGGAGGCAGCAGUGGGGAAUAUUGCACAAUGGGGGAAACCCUGAUGCAGCCAUGCCGCGUGUAUGAAGAAGGCCUUCGGGUUGUAAAGCACUUUCAGCGGGGAGGCGUUACCCGCAGAAGAAGCACCGGCUAACUCCGUGCCAGCAGCCGCGGUAAUAC
rnacentral:rRNA from 1 species